GACGAACGCUGGCGGCGUGCUUAACACAUGCAAGUCGAACGCUGAACCCGCUUCGGUGGGGGAUGAGUGGCGAACGGGUGAGUAACACGUGGGCAACCUGCCCCCGGCUCUGGGAUAACUCCAAGAAAUUGGGGCUAAUACCGGAUGUGACCGCUGGCCGCAUGGUCUGGUGGUGGAAAGGGUUUCCGGCUGGGGAUGGGCCCGCGGCCUAUCAGCUUGUUGGUGGGGUAGUGGCCUACCAAGGCGACGACGGGUAGCCGGCCUGAGAGGGUGACCGGCCACACUGGGACUGAGACACGGCCCAGACUCCUACGGGAGGCAGCAGUGGGGAAUAUUGCGCAAUGGGCGGAAGCCUGACGCAGCGACGCCGCGUGGGGGAUGACGGCCUUCGGGUUAUAAACCUCUUUCAGCAGGGACGAAGCGCAAGUGACGGUACCUGCAGAAGAAGCACCGGCCAACUACGUG
rnacentral:rRNA from 1 species